rnacentral:rRNA from 1 species
AGAGUUUGAUCCUGGCUCAGGACGAACGCUGGCGGCGCGCCUAACACAUGCAAGUCGAACGAGAGAGAAGGAGCUUGCUUCUUCGAUCGAGUGGCGAACGGGUGAGUAACGCGUGAGGAACCUGCCUCAAAGGAGGGGGGACAACAGUUGGAAACGACUGCUAAUACCGCAUAAGCCCACGGGUCGGCAUCGACCUGAGGGAAAAGGAGCAAUCCGCUUUGAGAUGGCCUCGCGUCCGAUUAGCUAGUUGGU